UACGUAGGGGGCAAGCGUUGUCCGGAUUUACUGGGCGUAAAGAGCGUGUAGGCGGCCACGCAGGUCCGUUGUGAAAACUGGAGGCUCAACCUUCAGACGUCGACGGAAACCGUGUGGCUAGAGUCCGGAAGAGGAGAGUGGAAUUCCUGGUGUAGCGGUGAAAUGCGCAGAUAUCAGGAAGAACACCCGUGGCGAAGGCGGCUCUCUGGGACGGUACUGACGCUGAGACGCGAAAGCGUGGGGAGCGAACAGG
rnacentral:rRNA from 1 species